CCCGAAUGACAAAAUAGAACAAUAAAAUAAAGCAAUAGUACAAGCACAGCAUCCAUGCUAACAAAACAUAAGGAACAACUUCAAUUCAUCAUAUUCAGUUGAUAAUUGCCGGGUGUAUGACAUUGUUUUGGAUUUCCCAGAUAAAGAACACAAUAGUAGUAUUCUCUUACAUUAACUGUACUUAAUUGCACGAAAUAACCUUGGCCGUCUCAACGUGAUUAAAUUGAUAAUGCAAAUCCCUUCAACAUCAGGAAGAACAUCUUUGUAAGUUCGAGUUAUGUUCUUUCUCAUACACUGAUGCUCGUAUUGACUGAAAACAAGUUUUCGCCCCAUACUUGGCCAAAUGGUCAAGCAACUUGAAAGUGACAGUGAAUACAAAAGCUUUUUAUUCGAUCAGUACGAAGGAGGAAAGGGGAUUAAGAGAGAGAGA